rnacentral:rRNA from 1 species
AAGGUCCCAAGGGUUUGGCUGUUCGCCAAUUAAAAAGAUACGCGAGCUGGGUUCAAACCGUUCAGGUUAUGAUCAGUUGUGUCUUGUAUGUGAAAAAUUAAGUUUACUUAAUUUUUCACAUACAAGACAUGACAGGUUAUCACGACUUGAACCCGUUUGAGCCCGAGGUGAUUCCACUGUUGAGACAUUUGGAAUCAAAAAGACAUCAUCACGGCGACACAAGUAAGUAAUUACUUGUUGUACCACCAACUAAUAUCGGUGAAAUCCUGAUGCACAGGACAAUACCGAGGGAAUUUGCUAAAGCAAAGCCCGUAGAGACUACAUGUUGGUCUCCCACUACGCUCACUUGAGCUAUAUGGGAUGAAGAUAUAGUCCGAUCCCUCUAGUAAUAGAGGUUCAUAUAAAACAAAUAAACGCGGUUUUAUAUGAAGUAAAACAUAGAUGCGUGAGACAGGUUGGUCUCCUAUCUACUGCAGGCGUUCGAUUUUUGAGAAGAUUUGCUCCUAGUACGAGAGGACCGGAGUGAACUGACCUCUGGUGUACCUGCUCUCUUGCCAAAGGGACCGCAGGGUAGCUAUGUUGGGAAUGGAUAACCUCUGAAAGCAUCUAAGAGGGAAGCCAACUUCAAGAUUAGAAAUCGUUGAGGGACCAGAGAGAUGAUCUGGUUGAUAGGCUCUAGGUGUAAGUGCAGCAAUGUAUUUAGCCAAGGAGUACUAAUGACCCGAAUCUUACUAGGAA